UACAGAGGCCUCGAGCGUUUAGGCGGAAUCACUGGGCUUAAAGCGUGUGUAGGUGGAUGCCUAAGUACCUUGUGAAAUCCCACGGCUUAACCGUGGAACUGCUUGGUAUACUGGGGUGUCUUGAGCCACUCAGGGGCUACCGGAACAAAUGGUGGAGCGGUGAAAUGCGUAGAUAUCAUUUGGAACGCCAAUGGGUGAAAACAGGUAGCUGGGGGUGUGCUGACACUGAGACACGAAAAGCCCAGGGGAGCAAACGGGG
rnacentral:rRNA from 1 species